GGUGCUGUGAAAAGGGCAGAGAACAACGCCCCCCAUACACACACCCUGGGUGAGCCCAGCCCCUCCCGGUGCUUUCUGAGUCCAGAAGAGGCAAAAAGGUCCAAUGAGAGAAUGUGAUGGUCACCACUCUGUGGGCAACUGGCCUCUUCGAAACUUCCACCCAGCUGAAGAGUGUGCUGCGACUGCCCCUACAUUUGGCAGCAAGUCACACGCAUGGUACUCAUGGCUUAAACUGUACUGUGGCGCUUCACAAAUAAAUUGUGUAUUCAAAAACUGUA